UCUCCGUUGGUGAACCAGCGGAGGGAUCAUUACAGAGUUUCCAACUCACCCAACCAUUGUUUACAUACUUGACCUUACACUCCUCCGGUAGGCGGUCCCAGGGCGGGACCGAGCCCUAUGGCACCUACCGAAGGGGUACCCAACUGCUCUAUAUAUGAUACUGUCUGAGUUAAAAAGCAAAAUAUCAAAAUUUUCAAUUGUGGAUCUCUUGGUUCUGGCAUCGAUGAAGAACGCAGCGAAAUGCGAUAAGUAAUGUGAAUUGCAGAAUUCAGCGAAUCAUCGAAUCUUUGAACGCACAUUGCGCCCAUUAGCAUUCUAUUGGGCAUGCCUGUUCGAGCGUCAUUUCGACCCUCAGGCCUUCUGGUCUGGUGCUGGGGCUUUGCACUGCAAACCCUGAAAAUUAGUGGCGGGCUUGUUAGCACCCGAGCGUAGUAAAAUUUCUCGCUAUGGGUUGAGAGCAAAGCACCAGCCGUAAACCUCUUUAGACAAGUACAUGGUUGACCUCGGAUCAGGUAGGAAUACCCGCUGAACUUAA
rnacentral:rRNA from 1 species